rnacentral:rRNA from 1 species
CGUUGUCCGGAUUAUUGGGCGUAAAGAGCUUGUAGGCGGUUUGUCGCGUCUGCUGUGAAAGGCCGGGAGCUUAACUCCGUGUAUUGCAGUGGGUACGGGCAGACUAGAGUGCAGUAGGGGAGACUGGAAUUCCUGGUGUAGCGGUGGAAUGCGCAGAUAUCAGGAGGAACACCGAUGGCGAAGGCAGGUCUCUGGGCUGUAACUGACGCUGAGAAGCGAAAGCAUGGGGAGCGAACAGGAUUAGAUACCCUGGUAGUCCAUGCCGUAAACGUUGGGCACUAGGUGUGGGGGACAUUCCACGUUUUCCGCGCCGUAGCUAACGCAUUAAGUGCCCCGCCUGGGGAGUACGGCCGCAAGGCUAAAACUCAAAGAAAUUGACGGGGGCCCGCACAAGCGGCGGAGCAUGCGGAUUAAUUCGAUGCAACGCGAAGAACCUUACCAAGGCUUGACAUAUACUGGACUGCGUCAGAGAUGGCGUUUCCCUUCGGGGCUGGUAUACAGGUGGUGCAUGGUUGUCGUCAGCUCGUGUCGUG